GAUGAACGCUGGCGGCGUGCCUAAUACAUGCAAGUCGAGCGAACAGACGAGGAGCUUGCUCCUCUGACGUUAGCGGCGGACGGGUGAGUAACACGUGGAUAACCUACCUAUAAGACUGGGAUAACUUCGGGAAACCGGAGCUAAUACCGGAUAAUAUAUUGAACCGCAUGGUUCAAUAGUGAAAGACGGUUUUGCUGUCACUUAUAGAUGGAUCCGCGCCGCAUUAGCGAGUUGGUAAGGUAACGGCUUACCAAGGCAACGAUGCGUAGCCGACCUGAGAGGGUGGUCGGCCACACUGGAACUUAGACCGGGUCCAGACUCCUACGGGAGGCAGCAGUAGGGAAUCUUCCGCAAUGGGCGAAAGCCUGACGGAGCAACGCCGCGUGAGUGAUGAAGGUCUUCGGAUCGUAAAACUCUUUUAUUAGGGAAAAACAAAUGUGUAAGUAACUAUGCACGUCUUGACGGUACCUAAUCAGAAAGCCACGGCUAACUACGUG
rnacentral:rRNA from 1 species